rnacentral:rRNA from 1 species
UCCCAAUAGCGGCGUGAGGAGGACAUUA